AACGAACGCUGGCGGCAUGCCUAACACAUGCAAGUCGAACGAGACCUUCGGGUCUAGUGGCGCACGGGUGCGUAACGCGUGGGAAUCUGCCCCUCGGUUCGGAAUAACAGUGAGAAAUUGCUGCUAAUACCGGAUAAUGACUUCGGUCCAAAGAUUUAUUGCCGAGGGAUGAGCCCGCGUAGGAUUAGCUAGUUGGUGGGGUAAUGGCCUACCAAGGCGACGAUCCUUAGCUGGUCUGAGAGGAUGAUCAGCCACACUGGGACUGAGACACGGCCCAGACUCCUACGGGAGGCAGCAGUGGGGAAUAUUGGACAAUGGGGGCAACCCUGAUCCAGCCAUGCCGCGUGAGUGAUGAAGGCCUUAGGGUUGUAAAGCUCUUUCGUCAGGGAAGAUAAUGACGGUACCUACAGAAGAAGCACCGGCUAACUACGUG
rnacentral:rRNA from 1 species